CACAAACACGCGCGAUACAAAGGAAUUGGCACCUAGUCAUAGAUUUUAGUCAUUCAUUUCCUCAUCUUAUAACUGAACCUAAUAGUGUGAUAUUAGUUAAUAAUUUACUUUAUCCUAAUAAUAUCCUCCCUCCACACACUGAUGAAGAGGUGAUGGAGACUCCACUGUUGUGUGUUGUGACGUGUUGGAGGAAAUGUCUCCAGAGGUCGGAGCUUAUUGUACCCCAAGACACCAGUGAGGUGAGGAAGAGCCAGCAGGGGACUGAAGACUGGGCCUGGGUCAGGACCCCUUAGAGAGCUGGGACUGAAGACUGGGCCCGGGUCAGGACCCCUCAGAGACCUGGGACUGAAGACUGGGCCCGGGUCAGGACCCCUUAGAGACCUGGG
ensembl:lncRNA